UCAUCGCAUGUUUCCGUGAUUAAGAUUUAUAACGAUAACAAAUAAAGCCAUUUCGGAACUGACCUAAGAUAGAGGGCCACAGGUGAGGAGGUGGCCUACCAGAUGUGUCCCACCAAUAUGUCAUACCGAUGAUGUAUGCAAAUGAGGUGAUAUUGUUCCUACAGACAGGUAUAUAAACGACGCACGACACGCCGGCUGAAUCUUUCCCCAGCAUCUGAUAACUGAUUUGUGUGAACCAGGAAUCAACGGUUGUUUAUCACACUUUUCAAAUUUGUCUCUAUUAAGAAAGACCAUGUCUAAGCUUCAGAUUCUGAUUGUCGUGUUUUUGGUGUGUUCGUUCCUUGCUGUGACGAUUGCACAGUCAGAUGGACUAGCGGCCAUGUUCCUCAUGAUGCAAAACAACAGGAACCAACCUUACGGAACCAGACGUAGUCCGUUAUCAGGACUGAUGCAAUGGUUAAUGCUGGAGAAUUUAGACUAUAUUUGAAGCAACCGUCGGAUUGAAGAUAUUUCAUCCUGGUUGCGACAACAAGACAUGGCGGUGGUUCAAAAACUUUCGAGACAAAGGCACCAACAUUUCGAUCAUUCUCAUCAAUUUUCGUCUUCAUUUGUAUUGCAUAUAUGGACGGACAAACAUCGUUCAAUCAUUAUCCAACCAAAAUUGUUGAUGUUUCGAUGACAUCCCGAAGAAUAAGUUGAAUUUUUGCCUACGUCAAUCUGGAUUUAAGUACCUUAGAAUAUCGACAUAUGAACAUUGGCCACAUAAUCCAAAAAAAAAAAAAGAAUGACAUUUAGUUAUUUCCAAAAACAAAUAGCCGUAUAUCGCGUGAACAUGUUCCAUAAGAGAUUAAUUUAGUUUAUAAAAAAUGAUUUAACUAAUUUUACAUUAUAUCUAUCUCGGCUGAUAAUAAGUUUAUUGUAAAAUUAUUUUAUAAAAGAUUUCGCGGAUAAAUGUCCAAUUCAUGUAGCUCUAGUAUUUAGUUCAUGGGGAAAGUUUUCCUUUAGUAUUUAUUUCAUUCCCCUAGUUUCGCCAUAAUGCAUCUUCUAGCAUCCCCCAAUCACACAUCGAGAGAGCUCCUUGUAGUACGCCUACACGUGUCUUAAAUCCUUUAGUUAGACAAUUGAUAUACAUUGUACCUACAGCACGCUAACUGAGACAACAAGAAGAUGCUGAAGAGAUGGGCAUCUUUUUUAUUCGGGACCUUACUUACAAAAUGAUGAACAUGGGUGUACUUAUAGAAGUGAUAGAUGUUUUAGAUCAAUUAUAAAUAUUCUUAUGGAUAAGUUAGACAUUUACCAAUGUUCUUCAUAUGUUUGGUGUUCUUUAUCUAUUUGUGUCGUGGAAUAACAAAUCAGAAACAAUCGUGAGGAUAUCCCUCGAGUCUAAUAGCUCGUACGCUUGUAUUUAGUGAAGGACGUGCAUUUUGACCGAGGGAGUAAAACAGUGCUUACAAUAGAAUAGUGCUAACAGUGCUGACAAUAAUAUAGUGCUACAUUUGUAUAUGUCAGUACAAUGGUCCUGUAGUUAACAUUGUUGUUGUGCCGGCUCACAAUUAAUAAUCACUCUCCUUCUUGUAUAUAGCUUUGUAUCAAUAAACGUUUUUAUCUAUAACUUGA